UCCUACCCAUGCCUAUUCUGUGAGAGAGUGAUUGUGUGCUUAGGAAAAUAUCUUUAGAAGCACAAGAGCAAGCUUGAUAUACCACAUCUAUUACCUUUUGGAGGUUGGUGCCUCAUAGAUUGGUUAGGUGUCGCUUGGUAGCAUCCUACUUCGUGUUGUGGAGUUGAACCAAGAUGUUUGCAAGGGAAAGGAGAUCACCUACUUCACUAAUAGCUACCGUGAGUGAGGCUAGUCCUGUAUGGACGGAAGCCAUGGUGGAAUAAACAAGGC
rnacentral:lncRNA from 1 species